AAAAAAGAAGAUGUGGUAUGAUUGACAAUGAGACCAUUCUCCAAAAGAGACCCAAAUGACACAGUUUAAUAUAAAAGGUACAGACGUCCUAGACUUGAAAAAUGAACCGUAAAAUGUCAAAUUGAACAAAAAAAGUCAGAAUGGAAGUCAAUGUGUGAAACCUCAUGUCUAGCACUGAAAAAUGUUGAUUUUAAAAACAAAAAAAUG
rnacentral:lncRNA from 1 species